AUGUACCUGUGUUGCCUGGAGCGCAAGCAUCUGGUGAUUAUGACCACAACAGCAAAGCUACAUUUUAACUCCUGUAUGAGAUUAAACGUACUCAAGUGGAUAUUAUUUCUGAAGAUGGGGCUGAAUUCUAAUUUUAUUGUAAAGCAUGCAUACAUUUUGCCAUCAGGAGCGGAGUAUGGAAGGAAUUUCCCGAUGGAGGCUUCGCCAUGCCCCACCAUUAAUUCACAGAACAUUUUGUUUCCAUUAUUUAAAAGUUCUGUUAAACUCCAAACCAGCUGUAGGAAUGACAAGUUCAAAUGAAAAGGUCCUCACUGCUAAAUGGGAUUUAAUUGCACGGGGGUUGAGGUACAAACUGAUGGAUCUGAAUAAUAAAAGUUUGUUGGAAGCAACA
rnacentral:lncRNA from 1 species